rnacentral:tRNA from 1 species
UACAUCUUAGUGUAAAUUUUUAGAACAUUUGGCCUUGACCCAAAAAGUUUAUGGUGUAU